rnacentral:misc_RNA from 1 species
AAGGAUCAUUAACGAGUUAGGGUCUCUCAGGCCCGACCUCCCAACCCCAUGUUUACUAAACCACCGUUGCUUCGGCGGGCCCGUCUUCAUUGACCGCCGGGGGACCGUCAAAACGUUCUCUGGCCCGCGCCCGUCGAUGGCCAACCUUAACAAAUUCUUAAAUAAACAUGUCUACUUCUGAGUACCAUUUUUAAUUAAAACAAAACUUUCAACAACGGAUCUCUUGGUUCUG